GCGGUUGUAGUUUAGUUGGUUAGAAUGCCUGCCUGUCACGCAGGAGGUCGAGGGUUCGAGUCCCUUCAACCGCGCCA
rnacentral:tRNA from 10 species